UACAGAGGUGGCAAGCGUUGUUCGGAAUUACUGGGCGUAAAGCGCACGUAGGCGGACCAGCAAGUUAGGGGUGAAAUCCCGGGGCUCAACCCCGGAACUGCCUUUAAAACUGUUGGUCUGGAGGUCGAGAGAGGUGAGUGGAAUUCCGAGUGUAGAGGUGAAAUUCGUAGAUAUUCGGAGGAACACCAGUGGCGAAGGCGGCUCACUGGCUCGAUACUGACGCUGAGGUGCGAAAGCGUGGGGAGCAAACAGG
rnacentral:rRNA from 1 species